CAAACUCCACAGUGGGAAUGCUAACGUUCAAACUAGGAACCUCAGAACUGUGAGGCAAGCAUGCAUACCGCUAUUCCUCCAAAUUGCCUUCUGUCCAAAAUAUUCUUUCCGUUUAGACCCCACUUGAUGCCCUCUUGAAUACAAUACUUGGACUAAUAGAGCAAAAAGCAAACCAAGGUUGGCACCAUAUGCGUUCACACACAAUUUGGCCCAACAUCAAACACCGCGAUGCAGCCGAUUGAGUUGCGCGUUUUCCAAAUCAUCGCGUUUUGAAACAUUCCUGCAAUUCUGGGGUUGUGGCAAUGAACGGCUGGGAUAAGGAGUCCAAACGGGUACGAGUUGAAAGUGCUUUGACCGCUGUGUGCAAUGGAAAUAUGUCUUAAUGAGGAAAUGAAAAGGCUUCCUACAGUUACUCAUGACACAGAACCGAGAGGGGGCGGGAGAUUGAGAGCUUGUGCAUAAGCGAGGGCUAUAAAGCGCUCUUUAUGAGGGUCUGACUAAACAGCAUGCUCCCUUCUUAUUAGGAGCCUUCAUAAAUAAACCCCCAAUCAAAGGGAAGACAGAUGGAAAGAUGCAGGUAAAAUGAGCAAAGAUACGCGACGUGCUUGGGAAAACAGCUUUAAGCUCGAGGAAUCUCAGAAGGGUGAAAUCUUAUCGAAUCUUCACCUCACGCCGCGCUGUGCUGCAUUCUUGCACGUACUGUAAAUUAAGUGGAAACUGAAUUUCCCCUUUAAAGCCAAUGACAAGAUAAUCGUCUCAUUGUACCCUUUGCAAAUAAUGACGUCUCUAGACUUUGAACUGUUCUUGACGAUAAUACUUGAAUGAUCAAUUGGUUACGCCUCUUCAGGGCUUGACUGUCAGCGGUUUUCCCACAAUGUCCAGUUUACCACAAUCUAUUUGCAAUCGUACUGUUCUUUUCGGUUAUGUUACUGAGAUGUUUCUUAGUCUUCCAUUAAAUGCACCACUGCAACACCAAUACUCCGAUCAUACUGUACAACGUCGCUCGUCGAGGCAGAUGGCCACCCACACUGAAAAGCUGAUCUCUGCAAAAUGCAGGUGCAGAAGGUCAAUCAGUAAAAUGUCUGCAUUGAUUUGUAAAUGUUGUCAUGGAAAAUGUGGGAUACUGAAAAAUGUGCGACUUUUUGGAAUGCGAAGUGGUGGAUUAACUAUUCCAGAAACCAAAAAUAUACUGUAGUGUAUAUUUUCAUAAUGACUAAUGCUGUUGAUUUCAGGCCAUAGCGUAACAUUUAUGUUUAUUACAUUGGUUGUUGAAACCAGUAAACCGUAACUGCUUAUAAUCAGGCCGAUCAAAUUACAACCCGUCAUGACGUGGCUAAAAACAAAAACAUUCCAAAGAAGAAUCUGGAAUGUGUGACCUCAAGAAAUUGGCUAAAUCAGAUGAAAAGCAUUACUAGCGUAAAAAAUGACUGUGAAAAUCCGCAAUUUCUAGCAUCAUAUAGAUAUUCGGAUAUGACGCAUGUAUCUAAGGACGCUCAUGUGCCGGAGCACGGAGAGACCACAUCCACGUUAUAUACGGUUGGAUUUCUGCCACACAUUCCGCUCACCCCUGACAACGUUGUCGCCACGGCAACCCACCCAUAACCACACAAACUGUUUGGUGACGGGGCCGCUUGUACGGCGACGGAGGAGUAAAUUUACUCGCACGCACACACACCGACAACACUGACCUCCCACUCUGACGAACACGCAGACAUACGCUCGCACGAAGGGGGCCUGACAGGCGUCCGAGUUCAACGCGGGGUCAACGCGGCAUCGACGGUUAAUGGGGGCUCACGGUGCCAUGUGUGUUCCAUGCUCAGAGCUUGUGUAUGUGUGUGCGUGUGAACGAGGUCGCCAUGAGUCCGCUGUUUGGGAUGAUUCACAGUCCCAGCCGGAGCCUUCCCCUCCCGCUGGAACUGUGAUGCCACCACCCAUCUUCUACCCACCCUGCACCUGGACCUAGCAGGGUGCAGGAGAACAAAGUUGUACAUCAUCAAUGUGUGUGCGUGUGUUUGGGUGAGUAAGUGUGUCUGACUGUAUUGGUUUUUUGGCCCUAGACGACAGCCGGGACAAAAGGAUGAGCUUGUAGGCCAAGCCCCCUCCUCGCCAUAAAUUUAACUAGCCGCAUGCCUUGCCAGGGCAGAGCGGUAACCGUGGCGAUGCUGAGGCUCAAGAUGGCCCUGGGGGAGUCCUGAUGGCACCAAGUAGCAGUAUCUGAAUUCUUUUUUUUUUUUUUUUUUUUUUUUUUACAUGUAAGUCAGCUGAAUUGAGCAUGAGUUUCCUGCCAUAAAUUGUCAGCUGACCUGCUUUUUAGUAGUUUUGAUCUCGUCAGUUCUAGAAAUGACGCACGCACACACGCGCACACAAACACACGUACAGACACACACAAAGGCUGCUUGUGCGUCACACAUCAGACGAGCGGAACUCCGUGGGUGUAGCUGCUGUCAUAGACACCGACUCCAUUCAUAAUUCCUUUCAUAUGGUUGACCAUUCAUCUCCAGAUACAACAAAACAGCAGCGCCUGCUGUACAGUAGUGGCCGAUAAGACUGGUCAACAAAUCUUUACUCCAAUGUUUUUAACUAUAGAGGCGAAUAAACUUUUCUCUGUGAAUUAUUCAGUCAUCCUCGAUAGCCCGGGUGUUGACAGGGUUGUCAUGGCCACUUUUGAGCGCCUCGUUGUCGUGACAUGGAAAAAGCCCGUGAUGACCCGUUGGGAUAUCGUCACUGGUUUUCAUCCAUGUGGCAGAGGUUUGACAGUAUGGGAACAUAUUUUGGGGGAGGGAUCGGUGAUAUCAGGACAUUUUCUGUUGCAGGGAGUUGGUAUAUGUUUGAAGGUCAAUUGCCUGGCGUGUGAGUGACUGUCAUUUAGGGUCAACUGGGAUAUGUUCUGGCCAGUGAUGUCAGUAAGGCGUUGAACAAAGAAUUGACAAAAAUUAAAAAAUCUCAGCCACCGUGCCUCCCUCACACACGCGUAUUGUGCAUGCAACAAAAAUAAUAGUCAAUGAAUCAUAAAAUCCUGAUUCCUCACGCCAGCGUACUCAGUAAAGGCGCUCAACAAAUAAUUGUAUAUUAUGGUACACAUAGGAAAGGGAAACUGGUAUUCACAGCUUGAACAUACGUAUGUAGUGAGGCAUUGUGGGAGACUUCCACUUCACAUUAUCGCUUGAGGGAGAGACAUCAUGUAUCAUGCGUUUUGUCACGUUUUCAGCGCAUUGACAACUCACAUGUCCUUACAAGAAGAACAAAUCUGUUGCAAACUCUUUGCUGUUGACAGAGUGUUUUCUAGCUUCAAUAACAUCUCAUACGUAUUUUUUUUCUUAAACCUGGGUCGUAGCGCAGCAUGCAUUCAAUCUUAACGAGAGAGUCCCACUAGAUUGUGUGCCUGCAGGACGUCCACAAAUGUAAUCGUUAUCAUUUAUAAACAAUGUACAUGAGUAA